rnacentral:ribozyme from 1 species
AUUUUAUGAUUCACUGUCUACUUUUUUUUUUCGUUUUCACUUCUUUCUCCGGUUCGGUGUGUGUUGUUCCAAACAACGUCGAUCGAGGUCAGCA